AUCGAUACCUCAAGAAGUCUGAGCUGAGACUGGCUAGGUAUGAAACAAUGAAAUAUAAUCCAAUUCAGUACUCACUCUCUCAAACUUUAAAGCACCUGUGCUAGGCUAAGUUAAUGCUGGAGCCGUCAGACAGCGUUACAGCACGCACAGAGAUGAGAAAGCGACACGUUGAAGCGAGAUGGGAGGCUAUUAUUCGCGCCCUGAUGGAAUUCCUGGGGGAGUCUUCAGGUGAACUCAAGGACUACAAGGAUAUCAGCAGAGAGGAAGCUCAAAAGGACCAGGCUUAGCAAGUCCUGAGAAUCUGUGUCUUCCACACAAGUGAAGAAGAUGACGGUGCAUCCAAAAUUGAUGUGUCGAUUGUUAUUGAAGGGACUGAGGUACUUGACAUAUGUGGAAGUGUUGCAAAGGCCGGUCUCCUGCUCAUGGGCAUCAUAUAUGCCAUGAACCUGAGUUAUCCCCCAAAAACGAAGUACACUUUUGAAGUUUUUUAAAAGCUUCUUCUAGAGCUCAAUGUCCUUAAGCUGUCCCCGAAAAUCCUGUCUCUGCGAAACAAACUUAUAGCUUGAGUGCACAUGUUUGACCCACGAGUUGUCCUUUCAAAGAGGGCGCUAAAAGAAAAAUAUGGCACAGUUGUCUAUGUGCCUAUUUGUCUGUUUUCUUAUUUUCUCUCGUUUUAUUGAUAUAAUUUUUAUUUUAACUUGUUGCACUGUAUUAAACAUGUGGCUAUGUAGAGUGGCUAUA